GUUACUUGCCAAGAAUACCGUGAUUUUCGAGACCUUAAAAAGUCCGGGGGCGGGUUUCCGUAAUUCGAUAGUCGACACUCGUCGGCUCGAUACUUCAAUUCGAUAUCGAACGCUUGGCGAGACCAUUUUGGUUUCCGUAUUUCGAUAUGACCACUCUCGUUUUCCUAUUGUAGGAAGCGUUUCGAGUGUUUUGUAGCUGUCAAAACCUGUGUGAAAUAAAUAAAUAUAAAUGGUAAUUCGAAUGAAAACAAUGUACAAUUGGCGUUAUUUUUUGAUUUUGGACGGUUUUGGAGAGGAAAACUCUUUAAUUAAUAGAAGAAGGAUCCGAGAUGCAUCUAAUCCCAUGGAAUUGCCUGAAAAGUGCUUCCAAACAAAAUAUCGGCUGACCAAAGAAGUAUUUAUGUACGUUCUCAACGAAAUAAAAUUAAGGAAAUGCAUGAGAACUACAUAUAUUCCUCCAAUCAUGAGACUAGCAGCAACACUGGAAAUUUUAGCAGGUGGCGGGUACCAGUGGCAAACGCGACACGUUGUCAUCCAUGGAAGACCAUUUAUGUAGCCAAUGCAUAGUUUAUGAAAAAGACUUCCAGCCGUGUAAGGAGUGGUUCAAUCAAAAAUACAAUUUUCCUGGGGUUGUCGGUGCCGUCGAUGGUACGCAUUUGCAGUUGCUAAAACCUGUGGAAAACGAACACAUAUAUUUUAAUAGAAAAGGCAAACAUAGCAUUAAUGCAAUGAUAAUCUGCAACCAUAAAUUAAUUAUAAGAGCUAUAUGCCCAAAAUUAGGGGGGCUGCACACGACUCGUUUGUGUGGAAGGCCUCCAAUGAGAGAAUGGUAAUGGAGCGACGAUACAACAGCGGAGAUACAAAUUCUUGGCUAUUAGGCGAUUCUGGAUACCCUCUUGAACCUUGGCUAAUGACCCCAUACCGAUUACGAGAAAAUGAAACUGACGCAAGUAAAUGUAUCUACAAUGAUAUACAUAGCAAAGCAAGGAGCGUUGUUGAAAGAAGCAUUGGGGUUUAUAAAGGGCGCUGGAGGAUAUUAUCUGACGACAGAAAGCCAAGGUAUAACCCAACAUUGGUUGCCAAAAUUGCAAACGUGUGUGCAGCUCUGCAUAAUGUGUGCAUCAGCCGCAAUGUUCAGUUUGAAAGCAAUAACGAAGCUGCAACUUCACGACAAGAAAGAGGGGUAGAUACCACUCCACCAGAAAUAGUUAACCGAGAAGCUGAAAGAAUAAGAAAUCGAAUAAAAGAACAUUUUUCCCAAACCGCAAUGUAAAAAUUAUA